CAACUCAGCACAACACCAGUGAAGCUGGAGCUCCGUCUCUUCAGCAAGUGUUCCUCCACUGCCACUGCACACAUACACGCUACGCCUGCACAUGCGCCCUGACGACCCAGGAGAACACAUCUGGGAAAGAUUCUGAAGGUGCAGAAAGUUUUGAACAUGAGCAGAAGACCUGCUGAAACACAGGAGCUAUUGAAGUCACGGAGGUGAAAAGGUGCCACAUGGACAUUUAAAGAGGUCACUUCCCCAAACAAAGACACAAAGAGGAGGGAAGACUGAAUCCUGCCUGCAUGUGUGCUCACUUAGCAGGGAUGGUAUUACAUGAAAAAAGCUCAUUUAUAGGAGAAACAUAUAUGAAAGCAGAAUGUCUGAGAUCCUUAAUGCUUUAUAUUCAGUGCAGCUUUAGAAUUUGAUUUGUCACCUGUCACCUGAAUUUUGUGUUUCUCUUACAUAUAAAUAAAAACAUUUCCACCACAAAUUGAUGCAGCAAAGGCAGGAACUGGAAAAACAACAACAAAAAAAAAAAAUCACCAGAAUGCAUGAAAUUAAGUGUUAAAUUUCUUGUCUCGUUCUUGUGUAACCCAAUAUCGUGUCUCGGGACACCUCUAAGUAUUACUGUAUUUAAUGUAUUAUUGUUGUUAUUCAUAAUAUUUAAUAUGGUCAGAAUAUGUUUUAUUACCAAGUAGCCAAGGUCAAUUCAACAUGAAAUAAAGCA